AGUGAACGCUGGCGGUAGGCCUAACACAUGCAAGUCGAACGGCAGCACAGUAAGCGCUUGCUCUUACGGGUGGCGAGUGGCGGACGGGUGAGGAAUACAUCGGCAUCUACUUUUUCGUGGGGGAUAACGUAGGGAAACUUACGCUAAUACCGCAUACGACCUACGGGUGAAAGCAGGGGAUCUUCGGACCUUGCGCGAUUGAAUGAGCCGAUGUCGGAUUAGCUAGUUGGCGGGGUAAAGGCCCACCAAGGCGACGAUCCGUAGCUGGUCUGAGAGGAUGAUCAGCCACACUGGAACUGAGACACGGUCCAGACUCCUACGGGAGGCAGCAGUGGGGAAUAUUGGACAAUGGGCGCAAGCCUGAUCCAGCCAUACCGCGUGGGUGAAGAAGGCCUUCGGGUUGUAAAGCCCUUUUGUUGGGAAAGAAAAGCAGCAGGUUAAUACCCCGCUGUUCUGACGGUACCCAAAGAAUAAGCACCGGCUAACUUCGUG
rnacentral:rRNA from 1 species